rnacentral:rRNA from 1 species
GACGAACGCUGGCGGCGUGCCUAUUACAUGCAAGUAGGACGCAGUUGCGAACGGGUGAGUAACGCGUAGGUAACUGACUAUUAGAGGGGGAUAACUAAUGGAACCGAUAGCUAAUACCUCAUACUAGUAGAUGGACCUGCGUUGUAUUAGCUAGUAGGUAGGGUAAUGGCCGACCUAGGCAACGAUACAUAGCCGACCUGAGAGGGUGAUCGGCCACCCUGGGCAUGAGACACGGCCCAGACUCCUACGGGAGGCAGCAGUAGGGAAUCUGCGGCAAUGGGGGGAACCGUGACCGAGCAACGCCGCGUGAGGGAAGAAGAUUUUCGGAUCGUAAAGCUCUGUUGUUAAGGAAGCGGUACUUAACCAGAAAGGGACGGCUAACUACGUGCCAGCAGCCGCGGUAAUUC